rnacentral:rRNA from 1 species
AUACGGAGGGUGCAAGCGUUACUCGGAAUUACUGGGCGUAAAGCGCGCGCAGGCGGCUAUUUAAGUUGGAUGUGAAAGCCUACGGCUCAACCGUAGAACUGCAUCCAAAACUAUUUAGCUAGAGUGUGGGAGAGGAAGAUGGAAUUAGUUGUGUAGGGGUAAAACCCGUAGAGAUAACUAGGAAUACCAAAAGCGAAGGCAAUCUUCUGGAACACUACUGACGCUGAGGCGCGAAAGCGUGGGGAGCAAACAGGAUUAGAAACCCUAGUAGUCC